CUCCCCCAUCACGGCACUGCUGCCCAAACCAGGCUUGGACCCACAAAACGAUUCCGGUAUAUAUGACAUCAUUUCACUGGAAGUCAACACAGGUGUAUGUGUAGCUGUGCGUGUCAACAUAAUUACAUCAGAACAUUCACAGUUGAUCGCUUCUCUUUGAAGGAGGUCCUUGCUGCUCCUGCUGCUGCUAAGUCACUUCAAUCGUGUCCGACUCUGUGCAAUCCCAUAGACGGCAGCCCACCAGAGUCCCCUGUCCCUGGGAUUCUCCAGGUAAGAACACUGGAGUGGGUUGCCAUUUCCUUAAAUCAAGAAAAUAACACAUCCACAGAGAUGCUUCAGCAUCUUUUAGCAUUCAGUGUAAAAGAUACUGGAUGAAGGUUUCUUUCUUUAUUCCUUGCAUUGUAUUUUUAUUGCAAUUUGCAUUUCUGGAUUGACUUUGGUAUUCUGCUUAUGUUUUUAUUUUGCUUGUGUUUUUCAUUUAACUUACAGAUAAUAAGAACAGACAUCUAGGUACAUAGAAAGGAUUUUGAAGAGAAGCAGACCGAGUAAAGAAAAAAUAUUUGGGGCCAACAUCAAAAUUUCCAAGCAGGUAGAAAAUAUAAACCAAAUCCCAAAUAUUGGGUGCCAAAUUUGAUAGAUUCCUGGCACUUGUGGCCGUCUGUCUGUAAGAAAUCCUAUGUGAACAAUUUUGGGGCAUCAAGUAGCUUAUAAAGAGAACUAUUUGAUGUGUUGAGCAAAGGAAUGAACAAUAGCCAUAGGAUUCAAAUUUCCUGAAAAUUCUCUGGAGUUCAGAGUGAAGGGAAUUUUGAUUUUGGCACACUGUAUCUCAGAGUUGGCUGAACUGAACACAUUUCAAAAAUAGUUUGAACUCUCAGUGGAGCCUAAAGCAUUUUUUUUUUUUUCCCCCACAAGCCUUAAAGCCAAGUCUUAUUUUAUCCAGAAGUUUUAGUUCUUUCCGUCCCAGGGGAGAAUGUAAAUUUGGACACUUCUGAAAUGAAUUAGACCAUUUAGGUUAAGAUGGAUGGCCUGUCAAAUACAGUCAUAAACUCUAGGAGGCAGACUUCAGGGUAUUCACACUCUUCCCAUCCUCUCCCUCAUGGAACAUGCUUGGUUGGUGUGACCAAAAGGAAGUACGACUCUUUUUUUUUUUCACGUUUCCGUGUUCUGUAUCAGAGGGGAACCUGAUUCCAGGCCGUGGGGACACAGGUUUCUAGAUCAUCCGUCAGUGAAUCCGGUUCCUACUUUACAUUUUAAACAUCGGUGACUGCAUGUAGAUAGCAAAGGGCAAUCAGCUUUCUUGUUGUUGUUCAGUCUCUAAGUUGUGUCUGACUCUUUGCGACCUCAUGGACUGCAGCAUGCCAGGAUUCCCUGUUCUUUGGUACCUCCCAGAGUUGGCUCAGGCUCACAUCUAUCGAGUCAGUGAUGCCAUCCAACCACCUCAUCCUCUGUCACCCCUUCUCCUCCUGCAAUCAACGUUUCCCCCUCCCCUUAAAAUUAUAUUUGGCAAACCUUAUUCUUACAUUAUUUACAAAAUUUAAUCUGCCUAUGUCUUUUGCUUCUGUUUUAUAAAUAUUAGAGAAGGGUGCUUCCCAAUGCUUGUUUCAUUUUGUAUCCUUCCUGUUUAAUUACACUGAGAAAGAUGGAAGGGACACGUACGUAGUCAGGUAAUGUUUCAUCGGGAGCAAGAACUAUAUUUUUCACCUCCAAAUAAAUAGCGCCUGAAUAUCUCA
ensembl:lncRNA